CCACGCCGUAAACGAUGAGUACUAAGUGUUGGGGGUCAGACCUCAGUGCUGCAGUUAACGCAAUAAGUACUCCGCCUGAGUAGUACGUUCGCAAGAAUGAAACUCAAAGGAAUUGACGGGGGCCCGCACAAGCGGUGGAGCAUGUGGUUUAAUUCGAAGCAACGCGAAGAACCUUACCAGGUCUUGACAUACCUUUAAAGGCCCCAGAGAUGGGGAGAUAGCUAUAGAGGAUACAGGUGGUGCAUGGUUGU
rnacentral:rRNA from 1 species